GACGAACGCUGGCGGCGUGCUUAACACAUGCAAGUCGAACGGAAAGGCCCUGCUUUUGUGGGGUGCUCGAGUGGCGAACGGGUGAGUAACACGUGAGUAACCUGCCCUUGACUUUGGGAUAACUUCAGGAAACUGGGGCUAAUACCGGAUAGGAGCUCCUGCUGCAUGGUGGGGGUUGGAAAGUUUCGGCGGUUGGGGAUGGACUCGCGGCUUAUCAGCUUGUUGGUGGGGUAGUGGCUUACCAAGGCUUUGACGGGUAGCCGGCCUGGGAGGGUGACCGGCCAAAUUGGGACUGAGAUACGGCACAGACUCCUACGGGAGGCAGCAGUGGGGAAUAUUGCACAAUGGGCGGAAGCCUGAUGCAGCAACGCCGCGUGCGGGAUGACGGCCUUCGGGUUGUAAACCGCUUUCGCCUGUGACGAAGCGUGAGUGACGGUAAUGGGUAAAGAAGCACCGGCUAACUACGUG
rnacentral:rRNA from 1 species